UGAUAGAGAGAUCUAAACUGCAAACGGAUUUCGUUGUUAAGAUUCCACGACUCUUUCGUAUAUAAAUACCUAGGGUUGCUUCGUUCACAAGAAUUGGGUCGACAUAUCAACUAGCGAGCGUUUGGAUUCAUCCUCUUCAUUGGAUCAUCUGUUCUCUACCGCUCUUUCUCCACAAUUGUCUUUUAAUAUUCUUCAGAAUCAACAGAUCGAGUAUGGUAAAUCAAGCUUUUCUUUCAGGUUUAGGGUUUAUUGAAUUCGGCCCUUUUGCUCAAGAAUGUUGUUUUUUUUGUGCUGGGUAAAUAUAUUCUUUUAUCGGUGUUCAAGAAGAGAUCCCGACACCAAGAAAAUCGAUGAACGCAACAUCCUUACGCUCAAGCGAUUCUUCGUUUCGUUGUUGUCUGCGUUUAAGAUCGUCAGUUUCAUCGCUGAAAUCGAUCAAUUAUCUCUGAUAUUCUUCCAAUCGCUCUCGAUUCUGAUAACCAGGCGAUCAUGAAUUCUUGCGUAGAUUUGAACUCCGUCCAACGAAGAGCUUCUUAACCUUCCAAACGAUGAAGAAUUGUGAUACCAUCUGAAGAAAACAUCUGCCGAUAUGGACCCCUGCGAGCCGUAAUAGCCGAAGAGAUGGAGUUGUAAGAGAAAGAAGGAGAAAGAUAACCGGCUUGAAAAUUCCAAGAUUUUGAUUCUGCUUUGAGUUGUUGUGAUGAUUGGCGGGAAUUCCUUCAACCCAACAUUUUUAUGCGGUUUUAUGUUCCCAACGAUUAAAGUCUUAUGAUAUAUUGUGGGGGUGGGGAUUGAACAUUGGACUUCUUAAAAAAGAAGUUGCUGGACUUGUGGAGAAUGUGUGCUGUUUGUAGACAUGGAAAGGUAUAUGUGUGUGUGUGAAGCUUUGUUGUCAUGUAGUUGACCUUUGCCAUGACAGGUGCGCUUGCUUGGCAGGUCAAAAUACAUUAAUAAAAGUUUCAUUUUUUGGGUUUCUGGGGAGGGGAUGGCACGGGCUCAUUUUAUUAUUUUUGCCCGGCUCUUCCUCCCCAUUCUCUCUCCCUCUCUCCCUCUCUCCCUCUCUCUCCCACUUUCCAUAUUUUUGCUCAGUCUUUCAACAGUCCACUAUUCAAACAACGUGCAAACAAAGAGCAGUGUGUGCAGCAACUGAAUCGAUCGUGACAGUUUAACCUCAAGGUACAAAUUUUGAAUCAUAUCAUAUUUUUGCAUAGAUCCAACUCACUACUCGAGAUGUUAACGUGGCAAAUUUUGAAUUAUAUCAUACUUUUGCAUAGAUCCAACUUGUUCGAAAUGUCAACAUGUUCUGCACGAGUGAGUUUCAUAUUGUCAAGCACAACCUUUUAUACUGUAGAAUUGUGUCUAACGACAUUUAAAACUCUGUUAUACUAAAGUUUUCGCCGGCUCUGUUAUUUACAACCUUUACGCAGACUCUGUUAUACAAAUUCUCUGAAGUUAUGUCAGUUUGACCACAUUGUGUUGACGGGAUAAUACUUCUGCUGCCAGCAUGUUUAGCAACAUAGAAAGAUGGUUCAAAUGGGCUUGUAUUUUGGAUAUUCUCUGAUUUGCUGUAUAAACUCCAACUAUGGACCUGGAUUCUUGGCUCUUUUGCUGGUGAAAAAUUAUUGGCCUGUUGUUUUACAUGGAGAAACCAUUUCGAAACAUUGGAGAACAAAAACAGCGCAUGUUGGUACGAUUUAUAGCAAGACCGGGGAAGAGAUUGGAAUUUCAACCAAAUUUGGAAGAUGGAGGAUGCUGAUGCUGAUGUGAAUGGGAGCCUCUUAAUCAAAUCUGGCUUUGGCAGGUAGCUAAGGAGACAUUCAGAUUGUAGGCCACAUUCAAUAGUUUUUUCUGUUGAUGUGCUGCUUUGUUUCUCUGUAUAACUUCACUGCAGUAUCCAGCAUCAUUUGCCUUGAAGCAUUCAUCAUGGUCGGGAAGAUGGUUGAGGCUAGAAGAUCAAUGUUUUACAAGAUGUGAUGUUAGGUUGAUGAGAAUUGUAACUAAAAUCUAUAACUUUAUUUUGUUUAGUUGUUUAGGUUUAAUUAGGGUGAUUUAAUUUUUACUUAGAUGGCUAUCAAUGUAACUAGUUCCUAUUUCCCACAGCCCUUGCCUAUUUUAUAAAGGUAGGGGCUCCCUUCUGUAAACACACGUUUCUAAUAAUUAAUAAAAUAACCUUUUUUUUA